UGGGGAAUAUUGGACAAUGGGGGGAACCCUGAUCCAGCCAUGCCGCGUGUGUGAAGAAGGCCUUAUGGUUGUAAAGCACUUUAAGCGAGGAGGAGGGUACUGGUAUUAAUACUACCAGGUACUGGACGUUACUCGCAGAAUAAGCACCGGCUAACUCUGUGCCAGCAGCCGCGGUAAUACAGAGGGUGCGAGCGUUAAUCGGAAUUACUGGGCGUAAAGCGCGCGUAGGCGGCUAAUUGAGUCGGAUGUGAAAUCCCCGAGCUUAACUUGGGAAUUGCAUUCGAUACUGGUUAGCUAGAGUGUGGGAGAGGAUGGUAGAAUUCCAGGUGUAGCGGUGAAAUGCGUAGAGAUCUGGAGGAAUACCGAUGGCGAAGGCAGCCAUCUGGCCUAACACUGACGCUGAGGUACGAAAGCAUGGGGAGCAAACAGG
rnacentral:rRNA from 1 species